UCGUGUUAAUUUACGUAUGGACACUUUUCCCAAAUGUGCUCCAUUCAGGGGUGCCAAAGUUUCGUGAACAUGCUCGGGGUAGCCGACGGACGAAGCACGGGAUAGGCGUGGGCGAUGGUGCUCACGAUCGUAUGUACAGACAGUUGAGUUUCCCUAACGGCACGCAAGCGAUGCAGCAGUUCUGGAUGGAUAAGUUAACAGUGGUUUCCAGUUUUGAACUCUCCCUGCGGACGUCCACAGUUGAUGCUGAUAUAACCAUCAUCAUCAAUCUGCUGAAGAAAGUAGCUUCAGUCCAGCAAGAAUUCAGAAGAUACAGAGAAGACUACGGGUACAUUUUGUUCGGCGCCACGCCCCUAUUCGAAGGGAAGAAUGAUCGUGCUGUUAUGGACACAUUGACGACAAAGUUCCAGCGGG